GACGUAGGGCGCGAGCGUUUGUCCGGAUUUAUUGGGCGUAAAGAGCUCGUAGGCGGCUUGUCGCGUCGACUGUGAAAUCCCGCGGCUCAACCGCGGGUCUGCAGUCGAUACGGGCAGGCUAGAGUUCGGUAGAGGAGACUGGAAUUCCUGGUGUAGCGGUGAAAUGCGCAGAUAUCAGGAGGAACACCGAUGGCGAAGGCAGGUCUCUGGGCCGAUACUGACGCUGAGGAGCGAAAGCGUGGGGAGCGAACAGG
rnacentral:rRNA from 1 species